GGUAUGCUUAACACAUGCAAGUCGUACGAGGUGUAAAUAAUUCACUUGUGAAUUGUUUAUUACUACAGUGGCGCACGGGUGAGUAACACGUAAGAACCUGCCUUUUGGAGGGGGAUAACAUAGGGAAACCUUUGCUAAUACCCCAUAAAGCUGAGGAGCUAAAUCGCAUUUGCGGCCAAGAGAGGGGCUUGCGCCUGAUUAGCUAGUUGGGGAGGUAAUGGCUUCCCAAGGCCACGAUCAGUAGUUGGUCUGAGAGGAUGAUCAGCCUAACUGGGACUGAGACACGGCCCAGACUCCUACGGGAGGCAGCAGUGAGGAAUUUUCCGCAAUGGGCGAAAGCCUGACGGAGCAAUACCGCGUGAAGGAAGAAGGAUCGUGGUCUGUAAACUUCUUUUCUCAGAGAAGAAGAUCUGACGGUAUCUGAGGAAUAAGCACCGGCUAACUCCGUGCCAGCAGCCGCAGUAAUACGGAGGGUGCAAGCGUUGUCCGGAAUGAUUGGGCGUAAAGCGCCUGUAGGUGGUUUUU
rnacentral:rRNA from 1 species